rnacentral:rRNA from 1 species
AUGCACGCUGGCGGCGUGCCUAAUACCUGCAAGUCGAGCGCACAGACGAGGAGCUUGCUCCUCUGACGUUAGCGGCGGACGGGUGAGUAACACGUGGAUAACCUACCUAUAAGACUGGGAUAACUUCGGGAAACCGGAGCUAAUACCGGAUAAUAUAUUGAACCGCAUGGUUCAAUAGUGAAAGACGGUUUUGCUGUCACUUAUAGAUGGAUCCGCGCCGCAUUAGCUAGUUGGUAAGGUAACGGCUUACCAAGGCAACGAUGCGUAGCCGACCUGAGAGGGUGAUCGGCCACACUGGAACUGAGACACGGUCCAGACUCCUACGGGAGGCAGCAGUAGGGAAUCUUCCGCAAUGGGCGAAAGCCUGACGGAGCAACGCCGCGUGAGUGAUGAAGGUCUUCGGAUUGUAAAACUCUGUUAUUAGGGAAGAACAAAUGUGUAAGUAACUAUGCACGUCUUGACGGUACCUAAUCAGAAAGCCACGGCUAACUACGUG